GGUAGCGCCUCGUGAAUUCAUCUCCGGGGGUAGAGCACUGUUUCGGCAAGGGGGUCAUCCCGACUUACCAACCCGAUGCAAACUGCGAAUACCGGAGAAUGUUAUCACGGGAGACACACGGCGGGUGCUAACGUCCGUCGUGAAGAGGGAAACAACCCAGACCGCCAGCUAAGGUCCCAAAGUCAUGGUUAAGUGGGAAACGAUGUGGGAAGGCCCAGACAGCCAGGAUGUUGGCUUAGAAGCAGCCAUCAUUUAAAGAAAGCGUAAUAGCUCACUGGUCGAGUCGGCCUGCGCGGAAGAUGUAACGGGGCUAAACCAUGCACCGAAGCUGCGGCAGCGACGCUUAUGCGUUGUUGGGUAGGGGAGCGUUCUGUAAGCCUGUGAAGGUGUGCUGUGAGGCAUGCUGGAGGUAUCAGAAGUGCGAAUGCUGACAUAAGUAACGAUAAAGCGGGUGAAAAGCCCGCUCGCCGGAAGACCAAGGGUUCCUGUCCAACGUUAAUCGGGGCAGGGUGAGUCGACCCCUAAGGCGAGGCCGAAAGGCGUAGUCGAUGGGAAACAGGUUAAUAUUCCUGUACUUGGUGUUACUGCGAAGGGGGGACGGAGAAGGCUAUGUUGGCCGGGCGACGGUUGUCCCGGUUUAAGCGUGUAGGCUGGUUUUCCAGGCAAAUCCGGAAAAUCAAGGCUGAGGCGUGAUGACGAGGCACUACGGUGCUGAAGCAACAAAUGCCCUGCUUCCAGGAAAAGCCUCUAAGCAUCAGGUAACAUCAAAUCGUACCCCAAACCGACACAGGUGGUCAGGUAGAGAAUACCAAGGCGCUUGAGAGAACUCGGGUGAAGGAACUAGGCAAAAUGGUGCCGUAACUUCGGGAGAAGGCACGCUGAUAUGUAGGUGAAGUCCCUCGCGGAUGGAGCUGAAAUCAGUCGAAGAUACCAGCUGGCUGCAACUGUUUAUUAAAAACACAGCACUGUGCAAACACGAAAGUGGACGUAUACGGUGUGACGCCUGCCCGGUGCCGGAAGGUUAAUUGAUGGGGUCAGCGCAAGCGAAGCUCUUGAUCGAAGCCCCGGUAAACGGCGGCCGUAACUAUAACGGUCCUAAGGUAGCGAAAUUCCUUGUCGGGUAAGUUCCGACCUGCACGAAUGGCGUAAUGAUGGCCAGGCUGUCUCCACCCGAGACUCAGUGAAAUUGAACUCGCUGUGAAGAUGCAGUGUACCCGCGGCAAGACGGAAAGACCCCGUGAACCUUUACUAUAGCUUGACACUGAACAUUGAGCCUUGAUGUGUAGGAUAGGUGGGAGGCUUAGAAGUGUGGACGCCAGUCUGCAUGGAGCCGACCUUGAAAUACCACCCUUUAAUGUUUGAUGUUCUAACGUUGACCCGUAAUCCGGGUUGCGGACAGUGUCUGGUGGGUAGUUUGACUGGGGCGGUCUCCUCCUAAAGAGUAACGGAGGAGCACGAAGGUUGGCUAAUCCUGGUCGGACAUCAGGAGGUUAGUGCAAUGGCAUAAGCCAGCUUGACUGCGAGCGUGACGGCGCGAGCAGGUGCGAAAGCAGGUCAUAGUGAUCCGGUGGUUCUGAAUGGAAGGGCCAUCGCUCAACGGAUAAAAGGUACUCCGGGGAUAACAGGCUGAUACCGCCCAAGAGUUCAUAUCGACGGCGGUGUUUGGCACCUCGAUGUCGGCUCAUCACAUCCUGGGGCUGAAGUAGGUCCCAAGGGUAUGGCUGUUCGCCAUUUAAAGUGGUACGCGAGCUGGGUUUAGAACGUCGUGAGACAGUUCGGUCCCUAUCUGCCGUGGGCGCUGGAGAACUGAGGGGGGCUGCUCCUAGUACGAGAGGACCGGAGUGGACGCAUCACUGGUGUUCGGGUUGUCAUGCCAAUGGCACUGCCCGGUAGCUAAAUGCGGAAGAGAUAAGUGCUGAAAGCAUCUAAGCACGAAACUUGCC
rnacentral:rRNA from 1 species